AUGCUUCCUGCUUCAGCUACAGCCGCCGCCGCCAAAGACCUAACCCUAGUGAGCAAGCGAGAGAGAGUGAGCAACGCAAUGAGGGGCUAUGCCAAGGUGUUAUGUUGUGCGGCGCGGCUCGACAAGGUAUGGUCAGGUCCCAUCGGUGAGUGGGCGCGAACCAGGUUCGGUGCGGCUGAUUUGGUUGGCAACAAUACGAAAAAAAUAGAGAGAGAAAAACCACAAGGUGAGAGGUACACACUCAACAAUAAAUUUAAAAAGAAACUAAAUGGGAUAAAAUGUGGCCCAAGUUUGGCAACAUUAUGUGAAAAUUAA
rnacentral:rRNA from 1 species